rnacentral:lncRNA from 1 species
AAGCAAACAGGUCUGAUGACUUCCAGGCAGUGAACCAGUAUCAAGUGGAAGAGAUCAGCCCUGCUGGCAUUACUAGAGGUAACUCACUGCCCAGACCUGGGUCGAGAUUCUGCUGAGAGAAUUGCUACUUUGUAUCCAUCAGUGUUUGCUGAGCUUGGGAUCCCUCCUCUCUGGGAAGACCUCACAGUCAAACCUUCAC